rnacentral:rRNA from 1 species
CCUACGGGAGGCAGCAGUGAGGAAUAUUGGUCAAUGGGCGUAAGCCUGAACCAGCCAAGUCGCGUGAGGGAUGAAGGUUCUAUGGAUCGUAAACCUCUUUUAUAAGGGAAUAAAGUGUGGGACGUGUCCUAUUUUGUAUGUACCUUAUGAAUAAGGAUCGGCUAACUCCGUGCCAGCAGCCGCGGUAAUACGGAGGAUCCAGGCGUUCUCCGGAUUUAUUGGGUUUUAAGGGUGGUUAGGCGGCACUUUAAGUCAGCGGUGAACGUCUGUGGACCAAACAUUGCAUAGCCGUUGAAACUGGGUGGCUUGAGUAUGCUUGAGGCAGGCGGAAUGCGUGGUGUAGCGGGGAAAUGCUUAGAUAUCACGCAGAACCCCGAUUGCGAAGGCAGCAUGCCAAGCCAUGACUGACGCUGAUGCACGAAAGCGUGGGGAUCAAACAGGAUUAGAUACCCGGGUAGUC